GAUGAACGCUGGCGGCGUGCCUAAUACAUGCAAGUCGAGCGAACGGACGAGAAGCUUGCUACUCUGAUGUUAGCGGCGGACGGGUGAGUAACACGUGGAUAACCUACCUAUAAGACUGGGAUAACUUCGGGAAACCGGAGCUAAUACCGGAUGAUAUUUUGAACCGCAUGGUUCAAAAGUGAAAGACGGUCUUGCUGUCACUUAUAGAUGGAUCCGCGCUGCAUUAGCUAGUUGGUAAGGUAACGGCUUACCAAGGCAACGAUGCAUAGCCGACCUGAGAGGGUGAUCGGCCACACUGGAACUGAGACACGGUCCAGACUCCUACGGGAGGCAGCAGUAGGGAAUCUUCCGCAAAGGGCGAAAGCCUGACGGAGCAACGCCGCGUGAGUGAUGAAGGUCUUCGGAUCGUAAAACUCUGUUAUUAGGGAAGAACAUAUGUGUAAGUAACUGUGCACAUCUUGACGGUACCUAAUCAGAAAGCCACGGCUAACUACGUG
rnacentral:rRNA from 1 species